rnacentral:sRNA from 1 species
GCCGGGUGCAAUGGCUCAUGCCUGUAAUCCCAGCGGCUCAGGAGGCUGAGGCAGGAGGAUCAUGAGUUCAAAGUCAGCCUCAGCAACUUAGCAAGGUGCUACGCAACUCAGUGAGACCCUGUCUCUA